rnacentral:rRNA from 1 species
UACGGGGGGGGCAAGCGUUGUUCGGAAUUACUGGGCGUAAAGGGCUCGUAGGCGGCCAACUAAGUCAGACGUGAAAUCCCUCGGCUUAACCGGGGAACUGCAUCUGAUACUGGAUGGCUUGAGUUUGGGAGAGGGAUGCGGAAUUCCAGGUGUAGCGGUGAAAUGCGUAGAUAUCUGGAGGAAUACCGGUGGCGAAGGCGGCAUCCUGGACCGACAUUGACGCUGAUGAGCGAAAGCUAGGGGAGCAAACGGG